rfam:Solanum lycopersicum cultivar Heinz 1706 chromosome 11, whole genome shotgun sequence.
GUCCCUUUCGUCCUGUGGUUAGGACAUUGUCUUUCCAUGUCGAAGACACGGGUUCAAUUCCCAUAAGGGAUA